GUCACGUCUGUCUAGUUAGAUCUAAGAACAUUCUAUACCGAAAUCUUUGAGUUAAGUUUUUUUUUAUUUUGCUUAACAAUAUGAGUAUGAAAUUGUUGUGGAAUUGUGCUAGAAUAAUCUUGCUUUCAGGAUUAUCAUUUGGCUUAUGAACAAAGAUCGUUCAGUGAGGACAGUGUCCAUCCAGAUAGUGUUGGUGCUGUGGUGUGUGAUAAUAUCUCCUUCAGUAAAUGGUAGUAUCAUAUGAUUUGCGUGUCCUUACUGAGCGUCAUCAGUGCUACAACUUUGCUGCUUGGCGUGCCUCUGUGCAUGCACAGGUUGUUGAACAGAAAGUGCUGCUGCCCAUCCGUGCCUGUUUGUCCUGACUGUGGAAUGCCUUACUGAAUAUAAAACACCUGCAUAUUAACAUAUAAUUUGCCAGUGUUAUAGCAGCUACGCUGAUUUUAAUGUGUGUACUAUUCUACAAGCACUCCCGAGUUUGCUUUCCUCAAAUUUCUUGCUGUCUCAAGACCAAGUGUGCAGUAAAAUCAACGUGAAAAGAAAUUUUUUACCAAGAUUUUCUAUCUGAUGAUAAUUUGUUAUUAUUUAGAUCAGUAUUUAAAAUGAUUUGCAUGACAUUUGCUACUGCAUUAACUGCUGCCGGUAUUAUUGUUAUUGGUCCUUUGAUAUGUGAAAAAUUUCUAC